AAAUAAGAAGCAAAUUGCAAUUAGUUUCGACCUAAUUAUCUGGUAUUAAAUUACCCUUAUUUU
rnacentral:tRNA from 1 species